UCGGCCGGGCUCGGCCGGGCUCGGCGCAGCUCGGCUGGGCUCGGCUCGGCGAUGGCGGCCUGGGCACGGGCGGUGCGGGGGCUGCUGCUGGAUGUCAGCGGGGUGCUGUACGACAGCGGCGAUGGCGGCGGGGUGCCCAUCGCCGGCUCGGUGGAGGCCGUGAGCAGGAUCAAGGCGUCUGGCCUGAAGCUGCGGUUCUGCACUAAUGAGACCCAAGCGACGCGGGAGGAGUUUGUGAAGAAGCUCCAGGGCUUGGGCUUUGACAUCUCGGUGGCCGAAGUCACGGCCCCGGCCCCGGCAGCCUGUCGCAUCUUGAAGGAGCGGAACCUGAGGCCGCACUUGCUCGUGCACGAUGAUCUCGUCCCUGAAUUUGCUGGGAUCGAUAAAGCAAACCCGAACUGCGUGGUUAUCGGAGACGCAGCAGAAAACUUCACCUAUGCAAACCUGAAUGAAGCUUUCCGAGUUCUGAUUGGGAUGGAGAAGCCUGUUUUGAUCUCCCUUGGCAGAGGACGCUACUAUAAAGAAACCGAUGGUCUGAAACUUGAUGUUGGAGCGUAUAUGAAGGCAUUAGAGUAUGCUUGUGAUAUUGAAGCUGAGGUAGUGGGAAAACCAGCAGGAAUGUUCUUUGAGUCCGCCUUAGCAGAAAUGGGAGUUCCAGCCCAGCAGGCCAUCAUGAUCGGGGAUGAUAUUGUGAACGACGUCGGGGGCGCCCAGCGGUGCGGAAUGAGAGGUGUGCAAGUGCGGACGGGCAAGUACAGGGCCUGCUGAAAAGUCUGUCACAGGUGGGACUUCAGAUUCAGACACAGCUGGAGGGCACCAGCGUUUCAAACUCGGCUUUGCUGUGCUGGCCAGAGGAAGGUUGUAUAACCCAGCGCUGGAAAACUCAUCAGCUGCCUCAGCUCUGCCUGCACCGGGCCUAGUGAUGAAAACCACCCCCACGUGAAGCCUGAUGCCUACGUGAACAACCUUGCCGAAGCCGUUGACGUGAUCCUCCAGCAGAUAUAAAGCCGGGGGUGGCUGGAAGAAAUGAGGAGGUGACCUCUCGUACAGCCCCUUCACGAGGCUGCUUUGUCUUCCCCAACCUCCAUCGGACACUGACAGACCCAGGCUUGCCUGGGGUGCCGAGCGCCUGCAUUCCGAAAUAUUUCACGUAAUGGUACUAAAAUGAUUUACUGAUCUUAUUAGGGAAACACCAACCCUGCCAUCCUCUGACACACCUGGAACACCUUCCCGUGGUGCUGUGUCCCCACCAGCGCAGGUGGAAUCAGCUCUUCUUAGCUGCGCUGAGCCUUGUCUGCCCCAGGGGACCCUGAGGAUGAUGAAGGGCUCGGGCCGAUGCUGGGGUUUCUGCCCCAUUUAACUCUUCGCUCACACAUGGACUCAACCCGGAGGUGCCCAGGUGGGAAACAGGGGACCCCACACUCCUUCACAGACAGGCUUGGUUGCUUAACUCACCCUUUCUGUGCCUUUUGGGGUGCCUGAGAUGGGAUGGGAGAUGUCCUUGUGGGGUGAGGGAGGCCACCAAGCCCUGGGUGCACCAGCCCAGCCCCUGUGGCAAACCAGUAACUGUGUUCCUGCCAUGAUUAGUGCCUGUUGGGCACUGCCCUGGGUUAGGGCUUGGGAACGUGGUAAUGCUGUGACAUGUUAUGGAAUAACCGCACUGUCAGGAAUAAACUCUGUCCUGUGGA